UGGCACCAGGCGGGCGCGGGCGGCGGAAGGCUGGGGGCUUGGAGCCUUGGAGGGCGGCGGAUCCAGCGGCGCAGCAAGCGACGGCAGCAGCAAGCGGCGGCUCCGGCGGCGGCUUCAGCAUCAGCUCCGGCGGCGACUCCAACGGCGCGGCGGCUUCAACGGCGGCUCCAGCAGGCGACGGCCACAGUCGGGGUUUGGGAUUCAGUUUUGUCUAGAUUGCUAGAAGAUGGAAGGAAAGGGAAAGGGACUAGUAAAUCCAAAGAAAAGAGGAAGAGAUUUGAAAAGGUUUUAGGUUGUUUUCCUAUUGAGACAUGUCUACAUUUCCAUUGUAUUUGGUUAUUCGUUCGUAGUGUGUAUUGACUCUUUGAUUCGCAU